rnacentral:rRNA from 1 species
UACGUAGGGGGCGAGCGUUGUCCGGAGUUACUGGGCGUAAAGGGCGUGCAGGCGGUGCGGUAAGUUUAGCGUGACAGUCUCCGGCUUAACUGGAGAAGGCCGCUGAAAACUGCUGGACUUGAGGGCCAGAGAGGGACAUAGAAUUCCGGGUGGAGUGGUGAAAUGCGCAGAUAUCAGGAGGAACACCAAUGGCGAAGGCAGCUCGCUGGGACGGUACUGACGCUGAGACGCGAAAGCGUGGGGAGCAAACAGG